UGGGGAAUUUUGCACAAUGGGGGAAACCCUGAUGCAGCGACGCCGCGUGAUUUAGAAGGCCUUCGGGUUGUAAAAAUCUUUUCUAUGGGAAGAAAAUGACAGUACCAUAGGAAUAAGGACCGGCUAAUUACGUGCCAGCAGCCGCGGUAAUACGUAAGGUCCGAGCGUUGUCCGGAAUCAUUGGGCGUAAAGGGUACGUAGGCGGGUAAGCAAGUUAGAAGUGAAAUCCUAUAGCUCAACUAUAGUAAGCUUUUAAAACUGCUCAUCUUGAGGUAUGGAAGGGAAAGUGGAAUUCCUAGUGUAGCGGUGAAAUGAGCAGAUAUUAGGAGGAAUACCGGUGGCGAAGGCGACUUUCUGGCCAUAACCUGACGCUGAGGUACGAAAGCGUGGGUAGCAAACAGG
rnacentral:rRNA from 1 species